rnacentral:lncRNA from 1 species
GGCCGUGAUAUUAUUUUAUUCAUGCUAGCAGAGAUCACACAUGAGGAAAUAAGCUGUUCUUAAAACUAGUCCAACGUCCAAACCCGUUGGACUAGCUAUUUCUAAAGUAAGGGUCUUACAAUAAUUUUUCAAAUUUAAAUUAAAAACAUACAUUAUGAAUAAUGAAAUUUAGAUAAAUCUAGAUGACAUACGUUUCUUCUCUGAUGUUGUUUUUAUGUUUUGAUUUUGCGUAGAAUAACAUGAGCACCAUGUUGUGGCUGAACAGAAAGCACCACAGAUGGAGCAUGAGCAUAUGUUUGAGAAAGUUCAAAUGAAAAAUUCUUUAAAAUCAAUGCCAUUGCCAUCUUUGCUUCCAACAGGGAAAAGUUUUGUCCAAUGCAGAUUCUAGGACCCGCUCCAAACGGAAAAUAUGAAAAUCUACCGUUUGUUGCUUUGGAAAUUCCACC